AAGUCGUAACAAGGUUUCCGUAGGUGAACCUGCGGAAGGAUCAUUAUCGAGUUUUGAACGGGUUGUAGCUGGCCUCAUACGGGGCAUGUGCACACCCGGCUCAUCCACUCUCAACCUCUGUGCACUUAUUGUAGGAUGGCGAAAGGUCAUGCAUUUAUGUGUGGCUGGAAACCGUUCUACGUUUUACUACAAACGCUUCAGUUAUAGAAUGUCUUCUUGCGUAUAACGCAUCUUAUACAACUUUCAGCAACGGAUCUCUUGGCUCUC
rnacentral:misc_RNA from 1 species